rnacentral:rRNA from 1 species
UGAGUAACCUGCCCUUAACUCUGGGAUAAGCCUGGGAAACUGGGUCUAAUACCGGAUAUGACUCCUCAUCGCAUGGUGGGGGGUGGAAAGCUUUUUGUGGUUUUGGAUGGACUCGCGGCCUAUCAGCUUGUUGAUGAGGUAAUGGCUCACCAAGGCGACGACGGGUAGCUGGUCUGAGAGGACGACCAGCCACACUGGAACUGAGAUACGGUCCAGACUCCUACGGGAGGNAG